AAAAUUAUAAAUCUUUUGAUACUAUUUCCAUCUACGUCAUUUUAAGUAUACUCAUUUCCCUUCUUACUCCUUCUACAAAUAGCUUAUCAUACUUUCACAUUGGGGUAUUCGAUGCUUUAUGUUGAACAUGACCAAAUCAUCUUAAUCGAAUCUCUCUUAUGUUAUCACUAAUGUGUGCAACCUGCACUCUCUGAUGGAUAUAGUCAUUCGUAAUCUUAUCCAUUAUCGUGUUACUAGAUAUCCAUAAUCCAUCUUAACAUCCACAUUUCUAGUACUCAUUUUCUAGUUACAUUGUAACUUAGAUGUCCAACAUUCAUUCCCAUACAACAUAACUAGCCUGACACAAUUCUCU
rnacentral:misc_RNA from 1 species